UACGUAGGGUGCGAGCGUUGUCCGGAAUUAUUGGGCGUAAAGAGCUCGUAGGCGGUGUGUCACGUCGGCCGUGAAAACCUGGGGCUUAACUCUGGGCGUGCGGUCGAUACGGGCAUCACUAGAGUUCGGCAGGGGAGACUGGAAUUCCUGGUGUAGCGGUGAAAUGCGCAGAUAUCAGGAGGAACACCGGUGGCGAAGGCGGGUCUCUGGGCCGAUACUGACGCUGAGGAGCGAGAGCAUGGGUAGCGAACAGG
rnacentral:rRNA from 1 species